CACUCUACCGACACGAGAUACUGAAACGCUUUGAAGAAGUACUAUCAUACCAUCACUCCAAGUACUUUAGUUGUGUUAGAAGCCAUGGCGACACACAAUGUGAGAACUCUGAUCUACUCUAGCGCUUAUGCCACCUGUAGUGAACCUGAGAAGUUGCCUAUCACUGAAGAGACUCCCCGGGCAGAGCACAACAAAUUGCGCGCGCGCCGCAGAGCAAAAACGGUAGCUCUGAUUCUUCCGGCUUUGCUAGAAGGCAGGUGUAUGCCAUGAUCAAGACGGGAUCCAUGGCAAUUACCACGUCCACGCUCGAUUCGUUGCUGGAUUUGAUGGCCGGCGGCAUCCUCUGGUUCACGCACCUUUCCAUGAUGAAGGUGAACAUUUACAAGUAUCCGGUCGGCAUCAUCGUCUUUGCCGCUAUCAUGGCCACUGUAGUCUGGGUGCAAGCUAUUGAGCAAUUCGUGGAGAACAAGCCCGGCGAUAGGAUUAUCAGAUGUGAUCUUUCAAUGGUGAGGAUUCAGAACAUCUAUGAGUAUUAUACUAAUUGAUACUGGUAUUUCAGCAUUCCUUGACUUUGUAUACUGCGUGUAAAUGAUAGGUCGCUUUGUAAAGUGUUAGGAUCCAUACAGCUAUCAAUGAUGGUAUAAUCAAUCUGGUUGACAAGGUGCCGUACACGUGGUUGUUGUUUAAAAUGAGUCGCUACAUACAUACAAUUUUUUCCCUCUCUUAGUGCACUGACAUCUUCUGCACAAUACAGUUCUUUGAGAUGCAAAGGGACGAUUCUAUUAGAGCCCUGGAUAUAUAUAAAAGGGCAAGCAAUCAGGUUAAUCGCAAUUUUUUCUAUUGGACAACUAAUUAUCUCUACAGUUGAUCUUAACUUUGAGGUUUCUUUCGGAUGGGCUCCCGGAAAAGAAGGCAUAUCUUGUUUAUAUGAGUAUUCUAUCAAUCCUAUUAAGCCGUAGGCCACUGUGUCACAUGAUGCUAAAUUAUUCGGAUGUUUUUCAUGUACUUGUCUUUAUUUUUUGGGUUUUACAGGCAUGAAAACUUUCAGAUUUUUAUGAUACAUGUAUAAGCAUACAUAUUGGGCAUGGCGAGAAGUUGUUAAGAAUUAAACAGAUACAGCCUCCUGCGUCGUUCCUGCAAUCUAUGGAAGAGAGUAUGUGAGAGAAGCUCCCCUUGCUCCAAGAACUCAGGACAAGUUAUUAUACUCGCCGUAGAGUACAUAAGAAAACCAGAAGAGGAGGAAUCAUCAACCUCACCUCCUCCACCAGUGACACCUUCAGAACUAGAACCUGAACUAGAGCCAGGAAAAGAAGUCACAGCCAGAGCAGUGCCAAUAGAUUUGCUGGUAAUUUUCCAUAUUACCACAGCAGGCUAACAUUAGCUUAUUUACAAACAUUUCCAUCUUUACUUGGCACGGGACGGCUGAACCGGUCUCUGUCACAUCUGACUUAAUCCGAAGAAUGCUUUGGCCUUCGCAAUUGUUGUUUAAUCAGGUACAUAUAUCUUGCAAUUGAAUCUUUUUAAUCUGUACACCAGUGAACUUCAAAACAAGAACAAAAUCAGGCAGCACCAACUCAACUUCUUUUCAGAAAUAUGGCAGGGACUGAUUUCUUUAAAUAAAUGAUGUGUAGGCUUAUGUUUCUGCAUUUCUUUCAAUACUUGUAUUACCUGUCAACAUAGAACUUUUAGUGGUUAAUAAAAAAAUAGGUUUUGUGGACUGUGCUUGGCACAAAGUAGAUGCUAAUGGGCAUUGGAUGCAACAAGAACAAUGUUAUAUGAAGGUGCUUCAAUUUUUAUGUGCUUGUUGUCAUGCUGAUAAGCAUUUCAAUAUGUGAUAAUGCACUCAUAUGCCAAUUUAAGUUAUGCACAUAUACUUAAUGAGCUUUUCUUUAGCCUUGCAGGGCCCAGUAAACUACCUAUGCAUUCAUUGUGUGUAACAAAGUUUGCGGCCAUUGUCAAUGGCUAUGUCUACCAUUUCAGUCCAUAUAUUUCAGUCCAUAUAUUUGCCUUAGUGCCUUCUUCACCUCUUGUUGGUCUGCUUCAGGUACUUGUUGUGUUUGUUCACAAUAAGUCCUAAUCGAAAUUUAAUUGCUUAGUAACUUAAUUCUCCAUGUUGUCAGUACGUGAUCAGGCCCAUUCUUUCCAUGUUAAAUGAGAUUAAAGGUUGUAUUGCCAAUAUUUUAUUACUGGAUCAUUGUCAUAAUGGAAUUUUUAUGUUAAUAUACUCCCUCCGAUCCAUAUUAAUUGUUGAAAAAUUACAUGUAUCUAAAUGCUUUUUAGACAUAGAUACAUGGACAAAUUGGAGACAAUUAAUAUGAAUCGGAGUGGGUAUCAUUUUAGAUUCCAAAACGCUAUUAGUGCCCUAGCAGAUAUCAAUGCAUUUUAAUUGCAUCCAACACCACUCGGAUGCUGAUUACUAUUUUGUAUUAUAUUACAUUGUGUUAAUACUGUUUGAGAUUUGAUGCAGGACAGAAUCCAUGAUUGGAGAGCAACAACGCUCGUGUCGACAUCCAUUCUCUUCAUUGCAGUUUUGUUUUGGUUUAUUUGUAUGCUCUCUCAGUAUAGUAAUCAUAAUUUCAAAAUUUCGAGGCAGCAUCUUAUAUAUUCAAAUAUACUAAUUAAAAGAUUUUAUAAAGCUUACCAGUAUAGGAGCACUGUAUUGUUUCAAUC